UACAGAGGUCUCAAGCGUUGUUCGGAUUCAUUGGGCGUAAAGGGUGCGUAGGUGGCGCGCUAAGUCAGGUGUGAAAUCUCGGGGCUUAACUCCGAAACUGCAUUUGAUACUGGCGUGCUUGAGGACUGGAGAGGAGACUGGAAUUCAUGGUGUAGCAGUGAAAUGCGUAGAGAUCAUGAGGAAGACCAGUGGCGAAGGCGGGUCUCUGGACAGUUCCUGACGCUGAGGCACGAAGGUCAGGGGAGCAAACGGG
rnacentral:rRNA from 1 species